UUAUUAGCUACUGCCAACACUAAUAAAAGAUCACGGUUGGCCUGAAUUAUUUCGACCAAUCAAUCAAAAGCACUCUUUACGGCAACAAAGAUGGAGGCAUCCAGUUCUGUUGCAGUACCGACGGUAGGACUGCCUAAGGAUGGAUCAAACAAUAUUGGAGGUGCAAUUUGCGGCAUACCGAGGGACACUCAAUUACCCCCAUGGCAGGGCAGGACCCCCCCCCUGGCCCCCAGUGAAUGCCGACUUGUUCUUUUCUGCAAUGAAGACUUUAACUGACCAGACACUAGAAGGUCCAGGUGCUGAUAAACUACACAAGAUCCAGUCCUGGUGUACUACACCCUACAGUGUUUCUGGCGGCUGGUGGAGCGAUUAAAGAAAAGCCAUGCUAAUGUUGCAAUGAUAUGUAUGCUAAACAAAAUAAAUAAAUUUAAAAAAAAUGUUUUAAUUAUUGUUGUUAAAUAUAAUUUAUCAAACUUCCUUAGAUGCAAAAGCCAGUGUAUCGGUUUGAUUUCAUGGCCACGGUAUAAUUUAAGUAUAUUAGCUUUAGAAAUUUGGGCAUUAAAAUGGAAGUAAAUAUGACAUUUACAUCAUUUGACAGUUUACUAACAAUAAAAAACGCGUUAUUUAUUAAAUUGAAUUACAGGAAUAUUGCUAAUUCUAAUUGCAUUGAAUAAUGAAACAAUAGUGAUGUUCCAACAACGCCAAACAGAGGGCUAUGAACGACUUUAUCAACAUGAUAUCUCGUCUGAAGGAUUUCGCUCCAUGUUAAUUAUUAAAAUGGUAAUGGUGACUCAUUUAAGGUUUUAACGUAUAUCACAUUUAUGAGCCCAUUUUUGACAGGAUGAGGGUAUCACGUGAUAGUCAAGAUGGUGACGUCCAUGCCGAGACAGUUAUUUUUUGCCUUUUUAUACCCUUAUUACUUCUGUUUAUUGUUUAAAUGACGCUCACUUUCCAGACAUAUCAGUAAAAUAGUGAUUAGCGUUUAUUUCGUAUUUAAAUUCGCUUUAUAUCUCGACUUUACUCCCCGCAAAUUUUACUAGCGCAGCCCUAAUUAUGUCAUCCCGCUAAGAAAUUUCGCACCGAGUAAAGUCGAGAUGUAGAGCGAAUAUUACUAUGAAAUAUAAGCGAUUAACUGUCUUCCUAAUAUGGCUGGAAAAGUGAGCGGAAUAAAAAAAUAAAACAAGUAAUAAAGGGUGUUAAAAGACGAAAAAUACCUGCCUCGUCAUGGACGUCGCCAUCUUGUUUGUCACGUGAUUACCCCCUCUGGGGUACUACACCAGGCUUUUUCUCUGAACUAUAAUAAUGGGUAACACGACUAUAUGUGUGCCUUACUAUAACGCUGUACUUCUGAACAGAGGGAGAAUAUUGGCAUUUCUUUGUGUCUUGACAAUGUGAUCCUUAAAUCGUUAAAAAAAAUCAGUGAUUGAUAACAAAUGUAAGCAUUUAGUAGUAUAAAUUGUAUACUUUUAUAAAGAGUUAUUGAUGAAGUACUUUGACAUGCUUGAAUCUUGACAUUGUGAAAUGUGUUUUGUUAAUAUCCGCCCGGUUUCUGUCCAAUUAGUGACCUUUUAAUUAAAGCCAAA